GUCAGCAUGACCUAGUGGCUUGAGUGUUGGACUAGGAUUCUGGAGACCAGGGUUUGAAUCCCAGUUUUGCCA
rnacentral:tRNA from 1 species